AUGGAGGUCAUCCGCGGGCCGAUCCUGCCGCGCUGCGCUGCGCCUGCUCUCACCUCCGGCUCUCGGAUCGGCGGGCAGCUGCUGAGGCGCGUGCGCAUGCGGAGGAGGGCUUCUUGCGGUGGCGGCGUCUCGCCAGGUGACGGCUACGACGGCGUGUCGCCCAGGUUCUUCGGCGCCCCGACCCAGCAGCACAUGCACGGCACAAGCUCCUGGCCUGUUCGCUGUGGCUACGGCUCGUCGUCCGACGGGGACGGCGCCCCGCCGGCGAACUUCGACGCCAGCGGCGAGGAGUUCGUCGACUCCAGCGUCAUGGAGGCUGUCGAGCUCAGAUGCGUGUCGGAUGGUUUUGUGAUAAGAAUGCGCGACGGAAGGAACCUUAGAUGUGUCCAGAACAAUCCCCGCGUGCUAAGGCUGCGCGAUUCCACGCCUCACCAUGCUAUCGUGCUCAAGAUGGAAGAUGGAAGCGAUCUUCUGCUCCCCAUUAUUGUCAUGGAGACACCAAGUAUCAUGCUACUGGCCGCCCUUCGGAACAUUCGGAUUCCAAGGCCAACGAUUUAUAAUGUGGUAAAGGAGAUGACUGAAAUGAUGGGAUAUACGGUACGUCUGGUGCGGAUUACAGAAAUGGUGCAUGAUGCUUACUAUUCUAGAUUGUAUCUUGCAAAGAUUGGAAAUGAAGAAGAGACUAUUAGUUUUGAUCUCAAGCCAUCAGAUGCCAUCAACAUUGCUUUCCGGUGCAAGGUUCCUAUACAAGUCAAUAAGCGUAUCGCAUACAACAACGGUCUGAAAGUUGUACAACCAAAGCCAACCGGGAGUUACGUGAACUCUGACCAAAUCCAGUACACAAGACUGGACAAGCCUGGUGACCAGCCUUGCUUCGAAGCCCAGGAGUUUGAUUUGGUGCGUGGUAUGCUUAUUGCUGCUGUUGAGGAACGCUAUAAAGAUGCCGCUCAAUACAGAGAUCGUCUUCUCAUGUUCCGCGCAAACAAAAAGAACACGAUAUAA
rnacentral:rRNA from 1 species